ACCAAGGAGACUUGGGGUAUUGACCUACUGU
rnacentral:piRNA from 1 species